rnacentral:rRNA from 1 species
CCUACGGGAGGCAGCAGUGAGGAAUAUUGGUCAAUGGACGAGAGUCUGAACCAGCCAAGUAGCGUGAAGGAUGACUGCCCUAUGGGUUGUAAACUUCUUUUAUAUGGGAAUAAAAUGUUCCACGUGUGGGAUUUUGUAUGUACCAUAUGAAUAAGGAUCGGCUAACUCCGUGUCAGCAGCCGCGGUAAUACGGAGGAUCCGAGCGUUAUCCGGAUUUUUGGGUUUAAAGGGAGCGUAGGUGGAUUGUUAAGUCAGUUGUGAAAGUUUGCGGCUCAACCGUAAAAUUGCAGUUGAAACUGGCAGUCUUGAGUACAGUAGAGGUGGGCGGAAUUCGUGGUGUAGCGGUGAAAUGCUUAGAUAUCACGAAGAACUCCGAUUGCGAAGGCAGCUCACUGGACUGCAACUGACACUGAGGCUCGAAAGUGUGGGUAUCAAACAGGAUUAGAUACCCCAGUAGUC